rnacentral:rRNA from 1 species
UACGUAGGUGGCAAGCGUUGUCCGGAUUUACUGGGCGUAAAGAGCGCGCAGGCGGUCGUUCAAGUCGCGUGUGAAAGCCCCCGGCUCAACUGGGGAGGGUCACGCGAUACGUGAUCGACUCGAAGGCAGGAGAGGGAAGUGGAAUUCCCGGUGUAGUGGUGAAAUGCGUAGAUAUCGGGAAGGAACACCAGUGGCGGAAGGCGACUUC